CCUACGGGUGGCUGCAGUGGGGAAUAUUGGACAAUGGGGGCAACCCUGAUCCAGCCAUGCCGCGUGUGUGAAGAAUGCCCUCGGGUUGUAAAGCACUUUCAGUGAGGAAGAACGCCUGGUGGUUAAUACCCAUCAGGAAAGACAUCACUCACAGAAGAAGCACCGGCUAACUCCGUGCCAGCAGCCGCGGUAAUACGGAGGGUGCGAGCGUUAAUCGGAAUUACUGGGCGUAAAGCGCGCGUAGGUGGCUUGAUAAGCCGGUUGUGAAAGCCCCGGGCUCAACCUGGGAACGGCAUCCGGAACUGUCAAGCUAGAGUGCAGGAGAGGAAGGUAGAAUUCCCGGUGUAGCGGUGAAAUGCGUAGAGAUCGGGAGGAAUACCAGUGGCGAAGGCGGCCUUCUGGACUGACACUGACACUGAGGUGCGAAAGCGUGGGUAGCAAACAGGAUUAGAUACCCGAGUAGUC
rnacentral:rRNA from 1 species